CGAAAACUCAAAAACUCUCUCUGUUUCUCCUGUUGCAUCCCCUACCGUCCUCUUCAACUUCCUUCGCCGCAACCACCGCCGUCGUCAUCCUCCAACAAAAACUCCGGAUCUUAAUGAUGUGCUAGCUGGUAUAGAUUAUGUCAUAGAUAUGGGACUUGCAGAUCCAUCUAAAAUAAAUAUGUUUGGUGUUUCCCUUGGUGGAUUCCUAACAACACACUUGAUUGGCCAGAUGUAGUUAGCGUUCUGGAGAAUGGAGAUCUGGAAACGCUUGGCAUGCUGGAUUACGAUAAAAGGUUGCAACAUUCUUUCACUGCUCACCCGAAGGUUGACCUUGUAACUGUUAAGAGAAUAGUCAUCUGAAUUUGCUACCAAUUAUGGAAAUAAAUAUGACUGCUUAAUUGGUUCCAGUCCUUUGUUCGUAAAGAAUGUUACCUAAACUUUUAAAAAGGAACACCCAUCAACUAUGGAUAUCAGUUCAUCACUUCCAUGUAUCCUUUCCUUUAGUUGCAAAAUCCUCCAAGUUGUUCUCCAAUGAACAAGGUUCUUCCUCUCAUUUCGGACCCUGGCUUCCUGAAUUCUAUAUAGGUCAUUACUUGAAUGGAGAUAUAAGAACCUUUAAAAUAUCCUGUUACUACCCAUUACCAUUUUAUGAAAGUACACUUAACUACUUAGUAGUGGAGAUCACUAGGAUUUGGAAUUGAUGUUAACUUGAUUCAAGUUAUGUGGCCUUUAUUUGAGAAAGAACUUAGGUGUCCAGGUGCCUUUUGUUCAGAUGUACAAUGAAAUAUGGAUCUAAAAUAAAGCUGGGGAGUAAAAUAUGUGAUGAUUUAUUCAAUUAUAUACUAUUAUGUAAAUACAGAGUUUGACUUGAAAAUAUUUGCAUGCAGAGGAAAUGUUUACUUUUGGCUACUGACAGACACCACCUUACGCUACGUAUCUGUUAUGAUGCACGACUUUGCUAUUACUGAAAAUUAUGUAAUUAUGAUAGAUCUUCCAUUGUACUUCAGACCAAAGGUAUGCCAUCUUCGCAAUUUCUUUUUUCUAUUGAUCUAUACUUGCAGAGUUUUGGGUUCGCUCUCCUGAUGACAACGACAGAAAUUAUUCUGGUGAAGUAGCAUCAUUUUUGUUUAUAAAUUUGAGUUCUCAGAGAUGGUGGUGUUGUCUUAUAAACAAAGGGGUUAAGUAAAAUAAUGGCUAAAAUGGAACUAAAUGAUUUUGAAUUUCUAGUAAAUGGAAAGUAAAUUAUGAUAUUCAACUCUUGUCUUCAAGUUCUUAAUGAAUAAUCUAUGGCUCUUUAAAGUCCAGUAUUCAUCAAAUCAACUUUGAGAUGUGCUAUCCAUAUGUAUACGGAAGUUAACUAUAUGUUAUCUGCGAGUUUACACUUGAUGCCUUUACUGAUGAAUGACAGUUCAAUUGCUUGGUUCAGUUAACUGCUUAAAAGUUCCCUCAUGCUUUUUCUUUUCCCGAAUUUAAUCACAAAAGUGAGAUUAAUAGGCUAUGUAUUUCUUUGGAAAUGGUGAAAAACAAACAACUGGCAUACAACUUUGACCCCACAAAGAAGGCUCGCUUUGGAGUUCUUCCACACUAUGCAAAACAUGAAUCCCUAAUCAAGUGGUUCGAGCUGCCUAACUAUUUUAUUUUCUACAAUGGUAUGAAAUUUUAAAAUUUAAAAUUUGUUUUCAUUUUUAUAUCUGAUAUGUGGAAGUUCAUGCCCCUUGAUUGGAAAAUAGAAUAAAUUUCUAGCCACGAGAUAGAUAUUAGUGUAUAAUUUUUCACUUUGAAGAGAUGGAUACACUUUAGGACCCAAUGUAGAUGGUUUGCACUUCUUAGAUUGUCUUGUUAGACAUAAUGACUACCUGACUUUGAGCAACUUUUAUUACAAACUGCAAAAAUACAAAAAUGUUUAGCCUCUUAUUGGACACCACCCGACAUAAACUUCAACGAAUCACAAGAUGUACAUGUUUUAGUCUUACUAACUGAUUCAAACUGAGUUUGGUUUCGUUGCUUGACCAGCCAAUGCUUGGGAUGAGGGAGAUGAUAUGGUCUUGAUCACUUACCGCCUGUAGAAUCCAGAUUUAGACGCGAUUAAUGGAACUGAAAAAGAACAACAGCGUGAUGGUUUCACAAAUGAGCCGUAGUAUGCGAUGAGGUUCAAUAUGAAGAAUGGUCUAGCAUCAUAGAAGAAACUAUCAGAGUCAGAUGUUGAUUUCCCACGGGUCAAUGAGAACUACACUGGAAGGUUUGGAUGCAUUAACUGCUUUCUUCAGUUCCUUCACAUGUCAAUUCUCAAUAAAUUAUGUGGUGACUUUAGCUAUUAAAGUAGCAUUCUCAUAAAUUGCUACUCCAUGGAGAAUCAAAACAUUUUUGUUGGCUAAGAGUUUCUUGAUGUCAAGGCCUUCCGCAGUGCAAUUAAAGAGGCUGCUAUUGCACAACAUUUUGAACUUCGCAUAGUAAGAAGUGAUCUGAUUCGCUACAUUGCUAAAUAUGACUCAGAAGGUUGUCCAUGGCGUAUUCAUGCUAUUAAGCCUCCCAAUGUUCCUACCUUUACUAUAAGAAGCCUUGAGGGAACACAUACCUGCGGAAAAAAUGCACAAAAUGGGCAUCAUAAGGUUUCUGUUGAUUGGAUAGUGAACUUUAUAAAGGAGAGUUUGCGUGAUAACAUAAAUUACAAGCCAAAAGACAUUUUCCAUGAUAUAUAUAAGCAGUAUGGCAUAACUAUACCAUACAAGCAAGCUUGAAGGGCCAAGGAAAGAGGGCUUCAAGCUAUAUAUGGAUCUUUCGAAGAAGGGUAUUGUCUAUUACCUGCAUAUUAUGAGCAAAUCAAGAAGAAAAAUCCCAGAAGUCAUGCUGAGGUUUUUACAACUGGUUUAGAUAGUCAGUUUUAGAGGUUCUUCAUUUCCUUUUAUGCUUCUCUUCAUGGGUUCCUGAAUGGUUGCUUGCUUGUUAUUUGUCUUGGUGGUAAAUACUUGGGUACUUUACUCUCAGCGACUUCUUUUGAUGCUGACGGUGGAGUAUUUCUGCUUGCUUUUGGUAUUGUCGAUGAAGAAAAUGAUGAUAGUUGGAUGUGGUUCUUGUUAGAAUUGUGUAAAGCUCUAGACAUAAGCACUGAGAAAAUAUCACCUCUUAUAUUUCUGUCUGAUGGAUAAAAGAGUAUUGCAGAUGCUGUGAUAAAGAAAUUUCCCUCUUCUUGUCAUGCAAUUUGUAUGCAGUAUCUGAGUGAAAACAUCAGCAAAGAGUUCAAUAAUUCAAGGGUAGUUCAACUCCUGUGGAAAGCCGCAUAUUCUACGUCCAUCAUAUGGUUUAAAGAGAAAAUGGCAGAAAUUGAGAAGGUUUCUUCAGAUGCAGCAACGUGGCUUCAACAGUAUCCUCCUUCACAUUGGGCAUUAAUUCAUUUUGACGAAACAAGAUAUGGUCAUUUCUCUUCAAACAUUAAUGAGUUCAAUAAAUGAAUUCUUGAAGCGCGUGAGCUUUCUAUUAUUCAGGUGAUUAAACGGAUUCACUGUAAGUUAACAGAAGAGUUUGAGCAGCAACGAUCAAGUAGUAGCACAUGGAGUUCUACCCUCGCUCCAUCUACUGAGAAGCGCAUUAUGGACGGAAGAUCUCAUGCUUCCACAUAUCAAGUACUAAUGCCAGAUAAAGUUGAAUUUGAAGUUAUCUCAGUGGAGCGUUCGCACAUCGUGAAUACAGGUACACGAUCCUGUUCUUGUCGCGAUUGGCAGUUGUAUAGGAUACCAUGUUCUCAUGUUAUUGCUCUCUCGAAUCAUGUGAAAAGGAUGUUUACACCUUCACAAAGAAAUAUUUCACUACAGAUAAUUAUCGUGAGAGUUAUAGUAAAGAGGUACACCCCAUCCCUGAUAAACUCGAAUGGUCAAGAACCCGAAUAGUCCGACCACAUAAGUGUCGUCGACCACCAGGAUGACCUAAAAAGAAGCGGUUAUGCAUUGAAGAUCUUAAUCGCAAAACACAUACUGUCCAUUGUAGUAAGUGCAAUCAAACAAGACAUUACAAGACAACCCGCAAAGAGGUUGUUUAGAGUACACAACAGUUGUAGAUGUGUAGCCAACCCACCCCAACAUCCCUAUUUUCUUUCGAGAACUAAAAAGUUCUCAAUGGAUGGUUCAAACCCAAUGGAUAAUUGGCCUGUCCCUUUCCCUUCUCCAUGAAAAGUGUAG